UACGUAGGGUGCAAGCGUUGUCCGGAAUUAUUGGGCGUAAAGAGCUCGUAGGCGGUUUGUCGCGUCUGCUGUGAAAACUCGGGGCUUAACUCCGGGCCUGCAGUGGGUACGGGCAGACUAGAGUGCGGUAGGGGAGACUGGAAUUCCUGGUGUAGCGGUGAAAUGCGCAGAUAUCAGGAGGAACACCAGUAGGCGAAGGCGGCACGUGGGCCGGUACUGACGCU
rnacentral:rRNA from 1 species